rnacentral:rRNA from 1 species
GGUAAGAAUUUUUCUCCCGGAAAAAAGAUAUAGGUCUAGAUUUUUGCCCAAGCUUCGAAAUUAACCUCCACCAAAAGGAAGUUAUUCCGCCAGGUUAUAAAAAAUUGGCCCUUUGGAGGCCGCGGUAUUCCCAGUUUCAAUAGGUAUUAUUAAAGUUGUUGCCGUUAAAAAGCUUGUAGUCGAACUUCGCCGCCUGAUGGGCCGGUCCGCCUUAUUGGGGUGUACUUGCUCAUCGGGCGCUUACCUCGCUGGUGAACUCUGAUGUCCUUUACUGGGUGUCAGAGCAAACCAGGACGUUUUUUUUGAAAAAAUUAGAGUGUUCAAAGCAGGCCUACGCCCGAAUACAUUAGCAUGGAAUAAUAGAAUAGGACGCGCGUUCCCAUUUUGUUGGUUUCUGAGAUCGCCGUAAUGAUUAAUAGGGAUAGUUGGGGGCAUUUGUAUUCCGUCGUCAGAGGUGAAAUUCUUGGAUUGCCGGAAGACAAACUACUGCGAAAGCAUUUGCCAAGGAUGUUUUCAUUGAUCAAGAACGAAGGAAGGGGGAUCGAAAACGAUCAGAUACCGUUGUAGUCUCUUCUGUAAACUAUGCCAAUUGGGGAUUAGCACAGGAUUUUCAAUGACUGUGUUAGCACCCGAAGAGAAAUCUUUAAAUGAGGUUCGGGGGGGAGUAUGGUCGCAAGGCUGAAACUUAAAGGAAUUGACGGAAGGGCACCACCAGGUGUGGAGCCUGCGGCUUAAUUUGACUCAACACGGGGAAACUCACCAGGUCCAGACACAAUAAGGAUUGACAGAUUGAUAGCUCUUUCUUGAUCUUGUGGUUGGUGGUGCAUGGCCGUUCUUAGUUGGUGGAGUGAUUUGUCUGGUUAAUUCCGAUAACGAACGAGACCUUAACCUGCUAAAUAGACCAGUCCGACUUUGGUUGAUUGCUGUCUUCUUAGAGGGACUAUUCACCUUUAAGCUGAAGGAGGUUUGAAGGCAUAACAGGUUCUGGUGAUGCCCUAAGGGCCAAAUUCCAGGCCCGCUUAAUUUCAAUUCGCCCCUAUAGCGAGGUGCUAUUACAAUUUCCCUGGCCGAUCGUUUUUCAAACUUACUUGUCUUGGAAAAACCCCUUG